UUGAUAUUUAUUCUCACAAUUAGAGUUACAAACAAAUAACUUUGUUGGAAUACAUUAUGAUUAAUAAAGUUGUGACAUUUUCUUGUCAUGUCACCUCUUAAAUAAUCAUGAAAUAACUUUGUUCCAGUAAUAUAUAUAAUUUCUAUUAAUAUUUAUUUUCACUCCCGAUGUAUUUCUUAAAAUAUUUACCCCUUAAAAAACAGUUUUCCAAUACAAUAUUACAACUCUAAAUUUGUAAAUUGUAGUCUUUUUAAUCUUUUCUGAUAAUAAUUUUUUUUACAGUGAGUUUUUGUCAUAUUGAUACAUUAAAAAAAAAAAAAUGUAUUAAUGACGUUAUGACAUUUUAAUAUCUGGUCAUCAUUCUCAGUUUUAAAAAGUUUCUGGUAAUGUCAUCACUUAAAAACAAUCAUAAUAUAUCCCAACAAAUAACUUUUUGGGGAUAUAUUAUGAUUAAAUUAUGACAUUUUCUUGUCAUGUCACCUCAAAAAAUCAUUAAAAAAACGUUCCAGGAACUAAAAAUUUUAAUAAUUAUGAUAUGGAAAUUAGCUUUUUUUGUGUGUUUGGAUGAAGACGUUGACAGACGUGUGUUCUCUCUCAGAAAAUGUCACUUUUAUGGAGCUCUUGAGUCCCAUUUGGCUUCCGGCGGCCCUCGAAGAGAAGAAAGUCAGCUAAAUCUCUCAUUGACUCAAAUGUUUGAUGUCGGCGCCCCCCAAAAAAAAUAAAACACAAAAAUUUGUACUUUCCUACUCGCUCUAACUCGGCCGUUUCUCUACUUAUCCGAAAUCUGAGCACACUGGAACGUUCCUCCAAGCCUCGGGGGCGGUCCACCCGACCAGGAGCAGGCCCAUAAAAAUUUCCUAGCAUCCCAUUAACCCUUCAAAAUAUCAAAGCUAUUUUAUUGUAAUUCAACGUUACUUCCACUAAUCCAAAUCGUAUAUCUUUAAAAGAAUAAGUAUUUGUGUGUGUAAAUGUUGUUUGUCUAUCUGUUUUGGCCCUGCGAUAAGGUGGUGACUUGUCCAGGGUGUACACCGCCUUCUACCCCAUUGAACCUGAGCGACCCAGAAUGGGAUAUGCGGUAGAAAAUGGAUGGAUAAAUAUUUGUAUCAUGUCGGUUUUAGAUUAACCAAAUGUGAAAUUUGCCAGGUGUGCAUUUCCAGCGAUAUCCACGGGGGGGCGCUGAACAGUCCAUUUAGGAGCACUUCCUGUAGUAAUCCAUACAUCUAUCAUUUCUGUUUGAGCCCCAAAAAGGAAAUGUAGAACAGGGGUCACCAACCUUUUUGAAACCAAGAGCUACUUCUUGGGUACUGAUUAAUGCGAAGGGCAACCAGUUUGAUACACACUUAAAUAAAUUGCCAGAAAUAGCCAAUUUGCUCAAUUUACCUUUAAUAAAUAAAUCUAUAUUUCUAAAAAAAAAUGGGUAUUUCUGUCCGUCAUUCCGUCUUACAUUUUUUUUCCUUUUACGGAAAGUUUUUUGUAGAGAAUAAAUGAUGAAAAAGACUCUUAAUUGAAUGGUUUAAAAGAGGAGGAAACACGAAAAAAAUGAUAAUUAAACUUUGAAACAUAGUUUAUCUUCAAUUUCGACUCUUUAAAAUUAAAUAUUCAACCGAAAAAAAUGAAGAGAAAAACUAGCUCAUUCGAAUCUUUUUGAAAAAAUAAAAAAAAAAAUUUAUGGAACAUCAUUAGUAAUUUUUCCUGAUUAAGAUUAAUUUUAGAAUUUUGAUGACAUGUUUUAAAUAGGUUAAAAUCCAAUCUGCACUUUGUUAGAAUUUAUAACAAAUUGGACCAAGCUAUAUUUCUAACAAAGACAAAUCAUUAAUUCUUCUGGAUAUUCCAGAACAAAAAUUUUAAAAGAAAUUAAAAAGACUUUGAAAUAAGAUUUAAAUUUAAUCCAACAGAUUUUCUAUAUUUGGCCGAAAUAUUUUUUAAAAAUUUUAAUCAUAAGUUUGAAGAAAUAAUAAUAGAAAAAACGGAAGGUAAAAUGAAGAAUUAAAUUAAAAUGUAUUUAUUCUUUAAAAUAAAAAAAAUUACUUUAACAUUGAUUUAAAUUGUCAGGAAAAAAGAGGAAGGACCUUGUUGAAUGUGUUUAAAAAUCCUAAAAUUAUUUUAAGGUUGUAUUUUUUUCUCUAAAAUUGUCUUUCUGAAAGUUAUAAGAAGCAAAGUAAAAAAAUAAAUGAAUUUAUUCAAACAAGUGAAGACCAAGUCUUUAAAAUAUUUUCUUGGAUUUUCAAAUUCUAUUUGAGUGGUGUCUCUUAGAAUUAAAAAUGUCGAGCAAAGCGAGACCAGCUUGCUAGUAAAUAAAAAAAACAAAUUAAAAAUAGAGGCAGCUCACUGGUAAGUGCUGCUAUUUGAGCUAUUUUUAGAACAGGCCAGCGGGUGACUCAUCUGGCUACCUGGUGCCUGCGGGCACCGCGUUGGUGACCCCUGCUGUAGAUGAUGUGCAUGUAUGUCGUCAUGUAUGGUGUGGGCUCAUGCGUGAUGUAGUGGUCGCUUAGGAAAAAUGUCACCCGGCAAAAGGCACCGGCGGGAAAAUAGUGUCAUGGAAGUUGUCUCGGGUGUGACCGCCAACGUCGGUGUAGGGCAGGGGUGGACAAGCCAAAACGUCGAAAGAUAUCCAUGUUGGAGCAAAAAUACAAAAAACGAAUCUGUCUGUAGACGCAAAAAAUGAAAAGUCUUAUAUAAGUGUUAUAAUGAAGACAACACAUGAUGUAAUGUUCAUAUUAGCCUACUAUCAAAAUGACUUUAAAGGCCUACUGAAACCCACCAUGCAGUCUGAUAGUUUAUAUAUCAAUGAUGAGAUAUUAACAUUGCAACACAUGCCAAUACGGCCUUUUUAGUUUACUAAAUUACAAUUUUAAAUUUCACGCGGAGUUUUUUGUUGAAAACGUCGCGGAAAGAUGACGUGUACGCGUGACGUCACGGACUGUCAGGAAAUAUUAGCGCAGCACUAUUUGCGUCUAAAAGUCAUCUGCUUUAAUCGCAUAAUUACACAGUAUUCUGGACUUCUGUGUUGCUGAAUCUUUUGCAAUUUGCUAUAUUAAUAAUGGAGAAGUCAAAGUAGAAAGAUGGAGGUGGGAUGCUUUUAGCCUUUAGCCACACAAACACACGGUGAUUCCUUGUUUAAAAUUCCCGGAGGUGAAGCUUUACUAUGGAUCAGAGCGGUCAAGCGAACAUGGAUCCCGACCACAUGUUAACCAGCAGGUUUCGGUGAGAAAAUUGUGCUAAAAGGUGGUUUCUUACCGGAGAUCUCUCGACUUGGCGGCGUCCUUGUAUCUGCCGUGACUUCCCUCAGAGACUGGCGUCAAGACACCCGUGGACACACCCCUCCGACUAUCAGGUCUUGCUGCUGGAGGCUCCCAUUAAAAACAAUGUGAGGACGUGAGGAGCCCUCACACUUGUGACGUCAUCGUCUGCGACUUCCGGUACAGGCAAGGCUUUUUUAUCAGCACCAAAAGUUGCGAACUUUAUCGUCGAUGUUCUCUACUAAAUCCUUUCAGCAAAAAUAUGGCAAUAUCGCGAAAUGAUCGAGGCUGACACAUAGAAUGGACCUGCUAUCCCCGUUUGAAUAGGAAAAUCUCAUUUCAGUAGGCCUUUAAAAUUCUUAUAUAAGUGUUUUAAUUAAGGUAAUGAUGUGUCUAUAUUAGUUAUAUUAGCCUACUAUCAAAAUUACUUUAAAAGCCUUAUAUAAGUGUUAUAAUGAAGACAACACAUGAUGUAAGUGUCUAUAUUAGCCUACUAUCAAAAUGACUUUAAAAGUCUUAUAUAAGUGUUAUAAUAAAGACAACACAUGAUGUGUCUAUAUUAGCCUACUAUCAAAAUUAUUUUAAAAAUCUUAUAUGUGUUAUAAUAAAGACAACACAUGAUGUAAGUGUCUAUAUUAGCCUACUAUCAAAAUUAUUUCAUAAGUAUUGUAUAAGUGUUAUAAUGAAGACAACACAUGAUUGCAACUUUUAUUAGUAGAUUGCACAGUACAGUACAUGUUCCAUACAAUUGACCACUGAGAGGUAACACCCCAAAAAGUUUUUCAACUUGUUUAAGUCGGGGUCUACGUUAAUCAAUUCCUGGUACAAAUAUAUUCUAUCAGCAUAAUACAGUCGUCACACAAGUUCAUCAUCAGAGUAUAUACUUUACAUUAUUUUCAUUAUUUACAAUCCGGUGGUUGAAAUCAACACUUCAGUCAUCAACAAUUGUAUCAUCUGAGAAAUGGACAUUGAAACAGUGUAGAAUCACACACAUUUUAGUGGAUUAAAAAAAACAAAAACGUCAUUGUUCAAAAAUGUUAUGAAUUAUUGACAUAUUUAGGGUUCCAAUUACUUCACAUCAAAUAUAAUUACCAUUUUCUGUGGUUUUGUCAUAUGAAAAAAACUUUUUUUUUGCCAUGAAGGGAGUAAAACAAUUGAUGGAUACACUUGAAGUUAAUACCUAGAUAUAAGCGUCGGAAGUAAACAAAAAAAAAAGUAUGACUUAUUUUUAAAACUUUUAUGAGUGGAACCCUUUUGGAUCCUCAAUUGUUUAAACUCAUUGUUCAAAUGAUAACAAAUCAAAAUCAAUGUUAUGAAAUAUUGACAUAUUUAAGGUUCCAAUUACUUAACAUCCAAUAUUACACUUUGAAAUAUUUUUGGGGGAAAAUAUUGCUUAUUUUGUGUUUUUGCCAAAAAGGGCCUGAAACAAACAAAAACUUAUAGACUGAUAGAUCUGAAAUUGAUAUGCAGGUUUAAGCAUUUAAAUAAAAUCAAUAUAUGACUUAUUUUUAACACUUUUAUGAGUCGGACCCUUUUGGAUCCCCAAUCAUUUUAGUUGGACUGUUUUAAAACU